rnacentral:rRNA from 1 species
GGCGGCGUGCUUAACACAUGCAAGUCGAGUGCGCGUCCGUAGCAAUACGGAUGGCGCACGGCGCACGGGUGCGUAACACGUGGGCAAUCUGCCCUCCGAUGGGGAAUAACUCCGGGAAACCGAAGCUAAUUCCGCAUAACAUUCCUUGGACUCCGGUUCGGGGAUUCAAAGCAGCAAUGCGUCGGAGGAGGAGCCCGCGCCCGAUUAGCUAGUUGGUGAGGUAACGGCUCACCAAGGCUAUGAUCGGUAGCUGGUCUGAGAGGAUGGCCAGCCACACUGGAACUGAGACACGGUCCAGACUCCUACGGGAGGCAGCAGUGGGGAAUCUUGCGCAAUGGGCGAAAGCCUGACGCAGCGACGCCGCGUGGGGGAUGAAGCUUCUCGGAGUGUAAACCCCUUUCGACCGGGACGAAUGCCCGCAAGGGAGUGACGGUACCGGUAGAAGAAGCCCCGGCUAACUACGUGCCAGCAGCCGCGGUAAGACGUAGGGGGCCAGCGUUGUUCGGAAUUACUGGGUGUAAAGGGUUCGUANGCGGUGUGGCAAGUCGGGAGUGAAAUUUCUGGGCUCAACUCAGAACGUGCUUCCGAAACUGCUGUGCUC